GUGGUGGUUCAGUGGUAGAGCAUUCACCUAGCAUGUGUGAGGCCCUGGGUUCGAUCCUCAGCACCACA
rnacentral:tRNA from 1 species